rnacentral:lncRNA from 1 species
CACACGUUUUGGAGCAUAUUCCAAGCCAAUAUAUCACACUUUAGAACCCCAUCGAGCAGGAAAGUCGGAAUUUAAAAGGCAAGUAAAUCUUUCAAACUGUUGUAGCAUUUAAAUUAUGUGGUACAUUUAACUACUGAACCUUUCAGAAUAUUGUCGAAUUGGGCAUGGCAUGGAAUAAUAGUGAAUAUAAAAAACUGACAAAAUCUCAAAUGCAGUAAAUUUCAAGGCUAAAUAUUGCAAAUUCCACUGGAAAUAUGGCGUUUUACCGCCAUGCAUACAUAGCUAUUCACAGCCCAAGAAUUACUGAGAAUUACAACAGAUUGAUAACAUGUAAAAUUGGGACAUUUUGAAGACAACAGAGUACCAAAAAAGCGAAAAGAUAUGGAAUUUCUAAAAUACAUCUUGCUAUGGAACGAAUAUUCAAU